GCAUGCGGGCGCUUAACGUUCCCCAUGAGAUGUAUCUCUAUGAGUAGAUGCUUAAUAGCGCAGCGUGACAUUGAUCAGCCAAAGAGGUGGAGGAUGGACGGGACCAGUUACAAGGAGACCUUGGAGAAUUCUUGUAAUUGCCCUAUUUAUAGUUGUGAAAAAAGUAACCUCGUCACGGGUGUUUGGAGGGGCCUGCCAGCUAGCCUCUUGCCAAAAGACUACGGGUCAAGUCAACGGCUGUAAAGACCUAUAUUUUAGUUCCCCUGGUUUGGCACUUAUAGAACCGAAUGCUAGCUCCCUGGUGGCCGUACGCAUGAACCAAAACCGCGAAUUGACUUCAGGGGGACUUAGCCACAAAUGUCCUGGAACUAUUUUUG